rnacentral:lncRNA from 1 species
UCUUAUGGAUUUCGAUACUAAUUACAACUCAGUCCCACAUUUCUACUGGUCCCAUGGCUUGAUAUCAGAUUCUACUUACAAUCUUUUCUCUUCCAAGUGCAAUUAUUCUCGAAUGAACAGAGAGCAGACAUCUGGUUCUUUAUCACCUGCUUGUUUAGCUGUACGAAGCCAAUAUUCACAAGAAGUUGGUGACUCUGUUGACCGGUUUGAUGUCACUCUUAACUCCUGCUUACCAUCUGUUGAUCCACAACCGGUGAGGUUAACAUUAUCUCAAUAGUGCUCCACCAUUAAAAUACACUGCAAUUAAUUUCAUCACCAUGAUAAUUUACUUUUUUUAGUAGGAAUUUGCACAAUUUUGCUUUAGUUUGUACAUGACUUUGCUUUCGGCCUAUGCAGCAAGUCACAGAGAAUGUGGAUGUUUGUAUAGGAGACGAAGUAAACAAGUAUUUCAAUAGGGAAGAUGUGCAGAAGUCUCUCCAUGCUAGACUAGUUGGAGUCGCCAACUGGAGUAUGUGCAGCGGGUAAAAUUCAAUCUACAAUGGACCUCUACUACAUAACCAACUUUUUUUCUAGCAUCCAUAUUUGCUUUUUCUUUUUCUCUUACCUUUUGCUUUUUAAAAUUGCGAUUUCAUGGAUAUAAAUUGUUUUUUUUUUAAUCUCCAUGUUACAGUGCUCUUAGAUACAAUAUAAAAGACAAAGAGAUAACCAUGAUUCCUGUCAUGGGCUCCCUUGUCAAGUCUGGUAUCCGGACCUUUGUUUACAGGUAAUGUUACAUGAUACAUAUGGGCGCUAUUUUUUUUCAUUAUGAUUCAAAAUAGUGAUAGUAAUACUUAAAAACCUCUACAGUGGAGAUCAAGAUUCAGUAAUCCCACUAUUUGGAACUCGGACUCUGGUGGAUGGAUUGGCGAAGAAGUUGAGACUGAAUACAACUGUGCCUUACAGAAAUUGGUUUGAGGGAGAACAGGUCGGCUUCUAUACAUGAAUAUGAGAUUAACUUCAUAAAUCACUUCAAGUUUCAACUGCUUAAUUAAAGAUCGGAUGAUUUAAAUCUCAUUCAUGAUGGUUUUUCUUCUGUUUUUCUAGGUUGGUGGAUGGACGCAAGUUUAUGGUGACAUCCUAUCCUUUGCCACCGUGAGAGGAGGGUCACAUACAGUGCCGGGUACACAACCAGCCAGAGCACUAGUUCUGUUCACUGCAUUUCUAAAAGGACAACCCCCACCAGCUGAAUGAACGGAUCAAAUUCACGGAUAAGAACUAUAGGUCAUUAUGUAUUACUAGAUAACAGAGGAUGUCUCUUCAUAUUGUGUUCAGAUAUUAAUGCAUUUCCUUUUAGAUUAGAUCAAUGCUCUUCACAUCCUCAUUUUCCAUGCAUUUAGCAGCAUCUCAGGUAUCAGAACGGCAAAUUUGCAUUUAAAAUCCUGUGAUUAUUGUAGAGGACUUCAGUUGGAACACUCAGAUUAGAAUUAGAAGCAGAAUUUUUUCGUGAAGAGAAGGAUAAACUGCUAACUAUAAGCCUAAAACCAAACCAAAAAGCUUAUCAGCCCAUAACUAGCACUAUAUGGGGGAUCAAUAUUCCAAGCCUAAAAUUAAUGGCCCAUACACAACACCUAAUAUCCUAACCAAACAGCAGCCUUUUCUUUCCUAGCCCUAAAACCCUUGUUCUUCAAUCUCACGACCACUCUCUUGUUUUCACACCCUUGGAUCUCAACUUCGGGAGGAGACGAUGCAACAUGAAGCAAACCACGAUUUUAUGGCUUUAAGAAUAUGGUGGAAGAAAGCUCUGAUUGGCAGAGAAUAGCAGCACCGACUUGCACUCUUCAAGAGAUUUAGAAAUAGGUUGAAAUUUGAUACACUUCUUAAGAUGUAUUAUGUAAUUUUUUGAGAAAAAAAAAAAAUCUUUUGUUGACUUUUUCGAAGAAAAAUUCAAAGCAUAUUAUAUAAUAAAAUGAAUAUUAUACUAAAGAACGAUAGAUUAAUUUGAUUGUUUAAGUUUCUCGAAUUAAUCAACAUUGGUGGUAUCUAUAAGAGAUCGAAGACACCAUCAUCCUAGCUACAUCACACGCCAAAGGUCUCCAUUCAGCUGUCUCUCUCUCUCCAGAGUCCAGAGACGUCUGUCUCAUCAAAGCCCUGAAAUCCCAGUCAUAGAUGGAAUGUUAUACUUAUUAUAAUAAUAGCCACAACAUGUACAACUCCGUUAUGCUCAACAAUGGAGACACUCUGCAAGCCCACGUCAGUUUUCAACAAUUUUCUGGAUAUGUAACCAUAGAUGGAAAGCAACACAGUGCUCUUUUCUAGUAAUUUGUUGAAGCAGAAAAUGACGUGGAGGCGGUUUCACCUUUUCUUCUUGUUAGUUGUUACGGGGAGGAAUAUUUUUUCUAUAUGAAUCUCUAUCAGUUUGUAUUAAAAAAUAGUGUGUUAAAAAGUUGUGUGACUUUGUUUUACGGCCAGCUUAUGAUUCAAAUAUGCAGAAAGCCACAGAGGAUGUAGAUGAUUGCUGCUUGCAUAUACAACAAAACAACGAAGUGGCCAAGUGUUUUUAAGCAGGAAAGACGUGCUUAAAGCUUUCUGCAUUAACUAAAAAUAUAAUUUACUUUGAAUCUGUGACUAAAAAUGUUGUUUCAUAGUGAUUUUAUAAAAUAUUUUUUAUAUUUUUUAUAUUUGAAAAUUUUUGUUAUUUAAAUAUUAAAAAUGUUAAAAAUAUUUUUUAAAAUCAGUGUGCAAGUGUAACUCUAAUAAUUAUCACAAUUCAUGGGGAGAAUGGAGAUCAAGAUUCAAUUUUGUCCCACCAUUUGGGAGUCGGACUCAGGUGAGCGAAUUGGCCAAGGAAGCUUCAGGUGCGCGUCGAGCCUCGCUCCAGUGCGCGUCGCGGCGCGCUUCAGGUGAGCGUCGGGGCGCGCUUCAGGUGAGCGUCGGGGCGCGCUUCAGGGUCGUGUUGAGGAGCGCUCAGGUGAGCGAAUUGGCCAAGGAAGCUUCAGGUGCGCGUCGAGCCUCGCUCCAGUGCGCGUCGUGGCGCGCUUCAGGUGCGCGUCGGGGCGCGCUUCAGGUCGCUUCGGGGUAAGCUUCAGGGUCUUGUCAAGGCGCGCUCAGGUGAGCGAAUUGGCAAGGAACGCUUCAGGAGCGCGUCGCUGUAAGCUUCAGGGUCGUGUCGAGGCGCGCUCAGGUGAGCGAAUUGGCCAAGAAACGCUUCAGGUGUGCGUCGAGCCUCGCUCCAGUGCGCGUCGCGGCGCGCUUCAGGUGACCGUCGGGGCGCGCUUCAGGUCGCUUCGGGGCGCGCUUCAGGGUCGUGUUGAGGGGCGCUCAGGUGAGCGAAUUGGCCAAGGAAGCUUCAGGUGCGCGUCGAGCCAUGCUCCAGUGCGCGUCGAGCCACGCUCCAGUGCGCGUCGAGGCGCGCUUCAGGUGCGCGUCGGGGCGGCUUCAGGUCGCUUCGGGGUAAGCUUCAGGGUCGUGUCGAGGCGCGCUCAGGUGAGCGAAUUGGCCUAGGAACGCUUCAGGUACGCGUCGAGCCUCGCUCCAGUGCGCGUCGCGGCGCGCUUCAGGGUCGUGUUGAGGAGCGCUCAGGUGAGCGAAUUGGCCAAGGAAGCUUCAGGUGCGCGUCGCGGCGCGCUUCAGGUGCGCGUCGGGGCGCGCUUCAGGUCGCUUCGGGGUAAGCUUCAGGGUCGUGUCGAGGCGCGCUCAGGUGAGCGAAUUGGCUUCAGGUGCGCGUCGAGCCUCGCUCCAGUGCGCGUCGAGGCGCGCUUCAGGUGCGCGUCGAGGCGCGCUUCAGGUGCGCGUCGGGGCGCGCUUCGGGGUCGUGUCAAGGCGCGCUUCGGGGUCGUGUCAAGGCGCGCUUCAGAGCGAGGCGGCUACCCCGAAAGGGAUACGCGUCAGGGUUCGAGAAUGGAUGAGGCACGCUUCCGGUGCCCGCUUUUCAGACCUGGAGGGUGGACGCGUCAGUCUGAAUGUGGUUGAACAAAAAAUGAAAUGGAUGCAAAGCAAAUUUUACAUUUGUUUUUUUAUAAGAACUAUACAUUUUAUGUAAAGGUUUUAUAUUUUAUGUAAAAUAUAGAAAGUAUAUCCACUUGUCACCUUAGUUUUUCUUGAUUAUAUUAGGUAAUAAAAAAUUUAUGCAAUUAAAUUAUUGAUUUUUUUAACUAGCAAAAAUGUUAUAUGAUUGAAUUAUUAUUAAUCGUUUUAAAAUAGUAAAAAAAUGAAAGUGCGAAACCAUUACUCUUUUUUGUUUAUUAUUAUUAUUUUUUAUUUUUUAUAUGUUUUAAUAUUUACUAAUUAUGAAAAUUAAAAUUUUAAAAGCUUAGGCCCAAUGUCAAAUUGGGAAGCUAAAAUAUUUACUCUAGACUUUUAACUUCAAAAAUUUUGUAAGGGAGAAAAGGUCAUCAUCCCUAUCUAAAUUAAUAUUCUAAUUAAAAUGUUUUUAUUAUGUGAUACUUUUGUAUUUCUAAUAAAAAUGCAUUUAAGAAAAAUUAACUAAAUUAUGUUUAGUUUCCAAAAUAUUGGAAGAGAAAUGUGAAGGAAAUUAAAAAAUAUAUUUAAAGUUAAUAAAUAGUUUUAAGACAUUACUUGAAAGUCAUUUCAUACAUUUUAAUUUUAUUGUAUAAAGAUUGAAUAAUUUGAAAAUGCAUAAAUUAUAUUAUGUUUGGUUCUUCAAAAAUUUAAGGAAAAAAAAGAAUAUAUAUAUAUAGUUUAUAAUUAAUAAAUUAUUUUUAUAUAUUAUUUUAAAUUUAUUUCACUUUUUUUUUUCUUGAUUAAAUAAUUAAAAUAUUUAAAAAUUUAUAAUUUGUUUUAAUUAUAUUUGAUUCUCCUUUUAUAUAUAUAUAUACACAGAGAACCGUUUUUUUGUUGUUGAGCACAUGCGCAUAUGUUUAGAGCAAACUCCAACCAUGCACUUGAACAAACAAUUGGACUAAGCUUGGGGAUGAAGAAAAUGGAGAUGUGGAUAGGAGCAUAGUGUGGCCCCGUUGGUUAAUAAGUGAUUGGGGGCAAGGGAACAAACACUUUGAUGGCACAUGGAGGAGUACUUACAAGGAAGAAUGAUACCGUACUUGAAUUUUAUGGAUGUAUCGGUCAAAUAUAGAUGAAUAUUCUAAUAGUGAGACGAAAAUGGUUUAAAAUUCAUUAAAAUACUUUAAAAAUUUUCAAAAAAUAAUAAAAUAAAUAAAAAUAUAUAUGUUAAAAUUAUUUUGUAAGUGCAAAUAACGUAAUUAUGAUGAAGGAUAAUAUUUAUAAAAAAAUUUAGAAAAAUUUAUCUUGAAUUCCUUUCAUAUAUUUAUAUUCAUCUAUUUUUAAAAUUUAAAACUAUUUUUUAUUAAAAACAUGUUUUAUUACAUUUUAAAUAAAAAAUAAAAUCCUUUUUAAGAUUUAUAUAAAAUGUUUUAUUUGAGAUUUAUUUUCUAAAAUUUUAUUAUAUGUGGUAACAACUUUUUAUUAUAGAUAUUAAUUUAUUUAAAGAAUUAAAAUUAUUAAAAAUUAUAUUAAUAGUUUAUCCUAUCAAAUUAAUUUAAAUUUAUAAAAUAUUAGACCUUUAUUAUUAUUAUUAUUAUUAUUAUUAUUAUUAUUUACAUUUUAGCAAUUUUUGAAUACAUUUAUGUUUUCAAUAUUUUAAAAUGAAAAUAUUUAAAUUAAAUAAAAUUAAAAGGAUAAACAUCAAAAAUUUAAAGUGAAAUGAUAGUAAAAUUUUAAAAUAUGAUUAAUGAGAUAAAUGAUGAUAGAUUUAAUAUUAAAACUACAAUUCAUUUAAUUCAAAUAAAUGAUCAUGUAUGAUUUUUUUUUAAUAUUUAUAUUUUUUAUAUUUAAUUAUCAUACUUGUUAAGAAAAUUAUAAUGAUGGUUUUUCUACUUUUAGUAAUCAAUUAAAUAAAAUUUAAAAUAAAAUAAUUAGAAUUAAUAUAUUUAUUAAAAUAUUCUUAUAACAAUGAAGUUUAAUAUAUUGAUAUGUAUAUAUAUUAAGGCAAACUUGCCCCAACGGUGGUUAGACAUGAGUUCAAGCCUUUUUGACCCAACGAUAGUUAAUUAAUUGAAAUAUCGUGAAAAUUUAUGAAAAGUCGAUAUUUCGGUGAUAAUUCCAAAAUAUAUGCUAAAUUUCUCCUAAUUUUCGGUCCCUAUUGAAUCACUCUGACAAGUGAAGCGAAAUAUCGAUAAAAUUUCACUAAAAAUUUGCGAUAUUUCAAACAUUGGUUUCAAGCACACAUCAAGGCACGAUUCAAGAGACAAACCCAUCAAGGGAGGAAACAUGGAUGGGGCAUGCUUUAAGUGCACUUUUUACAUUUUGAGACGCGUGAGGAGUAAGCUUUAGUGUACUUGAACAAAAAAUUGAAAUGGAAAACCAACCUAUCUAUGAGUGUUUAGGUAGGUUGGCAAUUUCUGAUAAAAUUCCUAAGUGUCCCCUAACUUGGUUUAUAUUUUGUUCCCCUAUUUCUGGAUCGAUCCAAGUGCAGGAGUAAAUCGAUCCAACUAACCUAUUUUUAAGAUCAAUUUUUAGCCAUUGGAUUAAGGGUUUUAUUCUCAUUUAAAAUCAAAAUUUUCCCAUUUUUGGAAGUAAUGAUUGCAACAGCCGUGAGAGGAUUAUUUAUUUCCUCAUCAUUUUAAGGGUGUUUGCCUUCUAAGAAAAUCCCAUCCAAAUUUUCCAAGAAAUUUUUUUUUAAUGGAUUUUUUGAAAAUAAACAUGGGUUGAUUUCUAAAAAUUUAUCUCUCAUUCUCUUAGUUUUAUGCAAAAACUCAUUUUCUUCUUGUGUGAAUUCAAGAAGAGACUGAGAUCAAGCUUGGUGCGGACUCCAAGUGUGUUCCGAAAGAAGAAAGUGAGAAGCUGAAAGUGAAGGUAUUAGUCAAGUAGUCUUUAAAGGAUUGAUUGACUUGAGGUAGGUAAAAUAUUGUAUUCAGUUUUGAUUCUUCAUAGUGAGUGUUUCAAUUUUAUAGUAGGCCCAUGGUUUUUUAUCUUUUUGGAAGUUUUCCACGUUAAAACUUAGUGUCAAUUAUCUCUUUCUCUCACUCUACUGUUUGAUUUAUUUUCAAUUUUUGAUAUCAUUGGAUACUUAAGCAUAUAUGUUGAAUGGUAGAUAUAUGAGCUGAAAUAAGUAUGAUUAUCCAUGGAAUAUCUUCAAUUAUUUUUUUGUUUAUUUUGGUUAAUGGUAUCUUGUAGUAAAUUAAAAUGAGUUAAGGAGAUAAUUGUUUUUUUGAAUAAAUUUUAAAGAGUAUUGAAGCAUUUGCAUGUGAAUUGCAUUUUAUAAAUUGUUGGGAGAGUGUUGGUGUAUACAUGCUUGCUUGUGGUUUUUAUGCUUUGUUGAAAAGUUGUUGGAAGAGAAGUUUAUGGGCAUUGAAAAUUUUUAAGGUUAAGUAAUCCUUGUUGGGAAAAUUUUUUUAGUUCAACAACACUUAUUCACUCUCUCUCUCUCUCUCUCUCUCUCCCCCUCCCCUCCUUUCUAAGUGUAGUCCAUUAUUGAGAUUUACCUUUUCAAUUGACAUAUGAGUAGGUUUUUAAAGCAAAAAUCACUUUCUUGAAUCUCAAUUAUAGAACCUCAUCAAGAGGGAGCUUCCAUUGGGAGACCACCAAUCUUAACCGAUGAAAAUUAUUCUCAUUGGAAAGUGAGAAUGCAAUAUUUUCUCAAAAUGCAAAGUGAAAAAAGUUUGAAAUGCUGUUGAAUUUGGUUAGUCUCCACCUAAGGUAUUGGAUAGAGAAGAUAGACCAACAAAUGUUAUCAAGCCUAAGUCGGAAUGAGAUAGAGGUGAUAAUGAAGCUAGUGAGAACAAUGAUAGAGUCAUCUAUUCCAUCUUUAAUGCCAUUAACACAUAUGAAUUCCAUAGGAUAGCUACAUGUACUUUGGCUAAGGAGGCUUGAGACAUCCUCUAAGUGACUCAUGAAGGAACUAAUGUUGCGAAAGUGUUCAAACUUCAGAUGUUGACCUUUAGGUUUGAGACAAUUAGGAUGGAAGAUCAUGAAAACUUUGGAGAGUUUUAUGCAAAAUUGAUGGACAUUGUGAAUUCUAGCUUUAAUCUAAGUGAGCCCAUUCUUAACUCCAAAGUGGUUUCAAAAAUUCUAAGAUCUCUUUCGGAGAGAUUUAGAGCAAAAGUCACCGUCAUUGAAAAGUCCAAGGAUGUGGAUUCCUUGAAAGUAAAUAAACUUGUAGGUUCACUCCAAACCUUUAAAAUGACUCUUGGAUCACCUAGGAAAUCAAAGAGUAUUGCCUUAAAUACCAUUAAAGAUGAGUCCUUAGGUUCCAAAGGUGAGUGUGAUGAGAAAAUGUCGGAUGGAGAAGUUGCUAGAUUUGCUAGAAAAUUCAAAAAACACAUGAAGUUCAAGAAAUAUAAGAAGUCCAAGGAAAAUGCUAAAAAAUGGAACAAUUCAAUGGGAAAAUCAAAUGUAAAAGACAAAAAGAAAGACAAGAAUGUCAAAAAGGACAUUGAGGUUGAGUGCUUCAAGUGUGGGGAAAAGAUGCACUAUGUCAUCGAAUGUUCCUAAAAAAAAAAAAAGAAAAAAAAAAAAAAAAGAAAGAAAGCCAUGUAAGUCAUUUGGAGUCACACAAAAUCAUGUUAAUCAAGCAAAAAAGAAUCAAAUGCAAGUGAGGAAUGCACUAAUUUCAUAGCCUUUAUGGUAAGUGUCAUUGAGGAAACACUCAAGAAAGAAGUUUUUGGUGAGUCUUGUGAGUCAAGUGACUUUGAUGGUAAUGAGAUGAGUUUUGACUCUGCAUAUGAGACUUUGUACAAGGAGUGCUUAAGUCUAAAACAGAAACAAGUUGAGUGGAAGGCUUCUAGUGAGUCUUGUGAGUCAAGUUAAGUCUCAACUUGAGACCUGUGAGGCAUAAGCUUCAGUGUACUUGAACAAAAAAUCGAAAUGGAAAACCAACCUAUCCCUUCUCAACUUGUCUACGUUCCAUUCUUCUUUGCUUCAAAGUGAUCACAAGUAUUGCUCUCUUUCCUCGGUUCCCAUAUCAUUAUCAUUUUCUUUGCUUAUCUUCAUAUUCUCAUUUCUUGCUCUUUCUAUUCAACGACAAACAUUAUUUUCAUUUUAUUCUCUUCUUGUAUCUUUACUUGUUGUACCCUUUUUUCCGUUUAAAAGUUCGUUUGAAGGAAAAAGACUAGUUUGGGGUUUUUAAAUUGAAAUGAUGAUUCUGUCAUCACUUAAACCUUGUCACAUGUUCAACAUUAUGCAUAUUUUGUUCAUUAUAACUAACAUCAUCACACAAUACAAUAAAUGUAUAUGACAUGUAUUUAUGAAGUAUGAUGGGUACAUUGUUGAAUUUUAAAUGUAAAGGGGUAAUAUGAAAAACACACUAUUGGUUGAAGGUAAAGUGUAAUACACUCUUUUAUUUUAUAUGUUUUAAAUUAUUUUAUAUAUUUAUUAAUUAUUAAUUAUGAAGAUUAAAUUCAAGUCUAGGCCUUGUUUUACAAUGUUUUCUUAAAUUAGUUUUGAAAUUAAAGGAAAAAGAAAUAAUGUUUUUUGGUAAUUUUAAAAAUGUGUUUAAUAAGCGUUUUAAAAAAAUAAUUUGUAAGAGCAAAAAAAACACUUGGAUAAACAAAUUUUAGUUGUUUUUAAAAUUAAUUUUUAUAUUUUGAUUUUAUAAAAAAUUUGGAAAUUCAAUUUUUCAUAAUAUUAAUUAAAUUAAAUUAAAUUCAAGCCUUAUUAAAAUAAAAAAUGGUGUUGUAAUUAAAAAUAAUUGAUUUUAGUAAUAUGAUAAUAAAAACAUAAAUUAUAUAUAUUUUUAUUAAAGAUGAUAAUAUUUUAGUAUAUAAAUAUUAAUAUUUUAUUAUAGUCAUAGUUUAUUCUCUUUUCCAGAACUGAUACUUCCAUUCAUCCUUGAGGAUGUCAGCAUCUUUUGCUUAGCCGCAGGUGAAGUUUGGAUUCUCUCUUUAUUGUUUACAGUUUGAGGGGUGUGACUUUGCUUUACAGCUGUCCAUCUUUUGAUUCACAUAUGGAGAAAGCCACAGAGGAUGCAGAUGCAACAAAACGACGAAGUGGUCAAGUGUGUAAACCGGAAAGACGUGCUUAAAGCUUUCUGCAUUAAGUGGAAAAACCUAAAAAAAUAAUCUUACUUUAUUCUGUUGAUGACUCAUUCUAAUACAUUAUUACCAUUCAUAGUGGAGAAUGGAGAUCAAAUUUCGAUUUUGUCCCACUAUUUGGGCGUCGGCGAAGGAAUUGGCAGGCGCGCUUCAGUGUGCAUCGGGGCGCGCUUCCGUGUGCAUCGGGGCGCGCUUCCGUACGCGUCGAGGCGCGCUUCGGUACGCGUCGAGGCGCGCUUCAGGUACGCGUCGAGGCGCGCUUCAGGUACGCGUCGAGGCGCGCUUCAGGUACGCGUCGAGGCGCGCUGCAGGUACGCGUCGAGCCCAAAAGGCAUACGAGUCAGAGUUCAAGACAUGGAAGAGGCGCGCCUCCGGUGCGCUUUUCAGACCUGGAGGGUGGACGCGUAAGUUUUGAUGUAGUUGAACAAAAGAUGAAAUGGAUGCAAGUUUCAGAAAAGAAUCCAAACCCUUUCCAAGUCCCAACUCUUUCUCUCGUGGACGCCCCUCGCUCUUCUCUGUUUUCCCGUGGUUGCAGUGCAGGUUCUGCUCUCUCCUUUCUCUCCUCAUUUCGUUUUCAUUCUCUCUCUCUCUCUCUCUUCCUCUAUUUAUUUUUUUCCCUUUUAUGAAUUACAACAUAAAUGUCACUUAUUUUUAAUCCCGCAUUAUUGUGAUUUAUUGGCAAAAUAAAAGGAAAAAUUACUUAGUUAUGUAUGAUUUCCAUAUUUUACAAAUUUUUUUUUGUUUGCAAUUCAUGUGUUCAAAUUACAAAAAAAAAAAAAAAUGUAAUUAAAUUAUUGUUCUUUUUAUAUAUAACUAAAAAUAAUGCAAUUCCAUCAUUAUCCUUUUUCUCAAGUAAUAAAAAAGUAUACAAUUUAAAUAUUAAUUUAAGUGAAAAAAUACAUUAUUUAGGUGAAUUUUUUUAUAAAUUUAUUUUUAAAAAUAUAUAUAUAUAUAAAAUGUAAGAGCACAUACCUUGUUUAUUUGAAAAUUUUCAAGUUCAAUUUUUUAAAAUUUUAAGAUUUUAAAAAGAGUUUUUAAGAUACAAAGUAAAUUUUGUAUUUUUUAUAAGAGCUCUUAUAUUUUGUUCAGAGGUUUUUAAUUUUAAAAAUAAAAUAGAAAGUAUAUUUAAAUGUCACCUUAGUUAUUCUUAAUUAUUUUGAUUUAUUAUGAAGUUUAUUAUUUUUUAUUUGUUAUUUUGUAUAUGUUAUAAAUUAUUUUUUAUAUUUACUAGUUAUGAAAAUUAAAUUAUCAAAAGCUUCGGAAUGUCAUCCUAGGACACUAAAAUGCCUAUUCUAGGCUUUUAACUUCAAAAAAAAUGUAAGGUAGAAAGGGUUGACAUCCUAUCGAAAUAUGAAACAUGUUUAGGAAUGAUUCUAAUUAAAACCCUUUUAGUCCAUGACAUUUUUUGUUAAUAGUGUUUUCAUUAAAAAGGCAUUUAAGGAAAAUUACUUAGUGUUUGUGUUAGUGUUCAAACUCUUGAAGUUGGGUUUGCUACUAAUCUUGACUUAACAAUCCAAAGUAGUAAUUGAUUAACUUAUGCAUACAAUCUCUUUAUAAAUUAAUACCUGUAAUCUAACAAGGUGAAAGAUAGCAACUUCUCAAGAUUACCUUUAUCAUCCUUGAGUUCCAAAUCAUCCUAUAAUAUAAUUAAUUAACAUAUCCUAACUCACAAAGAGCUUAUAUCAAAUUUCACUAAAGAAACCAUUAUGGUCAUAAUUUACUUAAACACAUCUCCUUAGGAUUGCCCAAGGGGACAUAAUGUCUUAAUUUCAUGAUAUAUCAUAAUGCUCAUAUUGAAAAUACAUAUUGCUAUCAAAUUUCAUCAACAGUGAUCCAAUUUAUAGGGAAUAUAUAAUUACUUUAGGAUUUCACUCGUACGUCAAAGUCAUUGCUAACUUUGUUACAAACUCAAUAUUUUCUCAAGGUUCAUAAUAGUUUAAUAAAGUCAUAACUAAUCAAUAGUCUUACGUCAUGAUUCAACAUAAGUUUUAUCUAAUGUGUAACCGAACACACUAUUGUAUUUACCAUAGGAACCUCAUCCUAGUGGGUAAGACCGGUUAUUUUUUUAAUUAGGAGGUAAUGCAUUACAACCUAUAAUGAAUUGUCUAAGUCCAUGAAUUGACCUCUAAAUAAAUCAUCUAUUUGUAAAGAACUAAUGACUUGAAUCUUCCCGUACAACUUUUAAUAUAUCAAAGUCAUGCAAAAUACAAGAAAUAUAAGUCAAAAUACUCAUAAGAUAAAAUGUAUGAAAUAAGAAUAGAUUAAAAUGCAACGGAAACUUUAUUAAAUAAAUUAUAAACUUUAAAUUUGUUGUAUCAUNNNNNNNNNNNNNNNNNNNNNNNNNNNNNNNNNNNNNNNNNNNNNNNNNNNNNNNNNNNNNNNNNNNNNNNNNNNNNNNNNNNNNNNNNNNNNNNNNNNNAAAACAGUAUCAUAAUUUUUUUUCUUGUCUAUGUUGAUCAUGACUUUAUCAAUACUAGUAACCACUUAAGCUUUACUUCUCAUUUCAUUGCAAGCCUCUCAUUAUAGUUCUUCGUGAAGGAUCUUAGAGAUCUACAUGACUUCCUUGAUGUUAAGGUUGUCCCUACUACCAAAUGUAAUGUUUCUACCUCUACAUAAAUACAUUUGGAACCUCCUACAACCUCACCAUAUAUCAUAAGCCAAUGUAGUGAACAUUCCAUUAUCAACCUUAACACCUUUGGUUCACUAUGAUGGUACUCUUUCCUAUAACCCACGCAAUAUUGACAAGUGGUUAGAACCGAACCCUCUAAUCUUCAGCCGUGCCAAUGGCAUCUUCUUUGUUGUAAACAAGUUAUCUUAAGUCAUGCAUUAACCAACUCAUACGCAUUGUUCAAUUGCCACCUACCUACCUAUGUACCAAUCCAAUUUUUCACUCUCGUGUAUAAAACACGUUGCUAUUGAUUUUCAUUUUGUUCACGAUAAGGUUUUUGUCGGCCAACAUUGUGCGUCUCAUGUUUCCACUCAAGACCAACUUGUUGACGCUCUCACCAAAUCAUUAUUCCAUCAAUGACUUCUUUUAUUCCUUUCCAAGAUGGGUGUUUCCAAUGGAAUCAUUAUCUUGAGGUGAAAUAUUGGGAACGAAUCAACAACUUCUCCCAACCUCGUGGAUUCCAGCUCAUGAUCCACUCAUUCACAUGAAAUGAAGUCUCUUAAUUUCAACUGCUCCCAAUUAUUCGCAAUUAAGCAUAUUGCAAUAUUCUCAUUUGUAACAAUUCCUUUCAUUUGAAUUCUGAUUCUUUGUGUAUAUAUAUUAUUGUAAAACAUACAACAAUUUAUUCAAUUCAUUCCUUUUUCUGCAAACUUGCUUGACCCUAUUAAUGCCAUCUUACAUCCACUGUCAUUCCAUUCAUGAAAGCAGACCAUAAAAAACACUCGCUCAUAAAACAUCACUCCAAUAAAAAAAAGAAGGAAAAAUCAGUUUUUUUGCCAAAUUUACAACAAGAAUAUUUGUUUAUUUGGCAAGCAGAGGGACUGGAGAGCAAAAUCAGCCUGAAGUCACGGGUCAUGAAAUAGGAUGCUUGGCCUGAAAAAGGCAUGUGAAGCCAGUCCAAAUUCCGAGUAGAAAAAAGGUCUCCAGUGAGGGCGGGGACAUGGAGGCUGGAAAUUGUAAUAAUCCCAAGAGUAUGUUGGAAUUUUUAUGUGUGGACUUACAUAAUUAAUUUGAUAAUGUCAUAAAUCAGUGUUAUUUAUUUUUGCAUUGUGGUCCAUAAUGGGACUGGACACAUAUUGUUGCUUGAUUUUUAUGGGCUCACCCUAAUUCACUUGACUGGCCCAUUAAGUCAAGUGGUGGUCCAAAUAAUGUGUGUGAUAUAUAUAUAUGAAUAUAUUUAUAUAUAUAUAUAUAAAAGAAAAGGAUGGGCUCACUGUGUGGCUGGCUCCCUGCUCUUCCUCCUUUGGCUGAAAGAGAGCACGCACUCUCGUCAUGGACUGAAUCUGGGUGUAGAAGGGAAGAGCUCAUUAACCCGUAAUUCUCGCACUAUCAAGCACUAUAGAAGCUUCCUGAAUACUAGAAAAGAGCAAGAAAUGGCCUUUCACGGAAUUAACCAAGGUGAACGUUUCCGUUUUUGCCGUUCAAUGCAUGCUUAAAUGUCAACAUGUGAUCCUAUAUUGUUUAAAUUUUCUUUAAUUGGUAUCAGAGCAAGCAUGAUUGACAUUUGAGCUGCAAUUUUGGGUUAAUUUUUGGGUUUCCCGUUUCCUGUGGUGGAAGCCAUUUUUUUGGAUUUUUAUUUCUCGUCUGAUGUUGAUUCUCUGUUUUCAAGCCCGAUUGUUGUUGGAAACUUGUAGAGAAUAUUGUUUGGAGCAAAACCCAUCAUUUUAUUUGAUUUUUGGAGCUUGUUUGGUGGGAUUUCGAAAAUUAGGGCUUGUUUGGUUCUUGCUAUUAUGCGUUUUUUGUGCAAUUUUUGGGUUUGGAUUGAAGAAUUGAUGUUUGAGGAUGGAAAUCUAUGUAUUUUUGACGAAAAAUGCGUGAAAUUUUGGGUGGAAAUUUUUUUUUUCUUCUCCAGAACCAGGCCGUGCUCAGCUAGAGGAGAAGAUGAAUAGUGAUGUGAUGAAUCAUGACGUCAUAAAAAAAAAAAAAAAACCAUUUUUUUUUUUUUUGUUGCCUUGGUAUUCUUGGAUUGAUUGUGCAUAUGCUAGAAUUAUUAUGCAUUUGUUAAAUUUGACUUUAUUGGGACAAUUAUUAUUAUUAUUGUUCUUUAUGGUAUAAUUUUUCCUUAUAUCAAUAAUGUUGUCCUAUGUCAAUUUUGUUAAAUAUUUCAAUUUAUUGAGGCAAUGAAGCACACUUGUGUGAUUGCCUAUCGCAAUUCCAAGUGUGUGAUUGAUUGUGCAUAUGCUAGAAUUAUUAUGCAUUUGUUAAAUUUGGCUUUAUUGGGACAAUUAUUAUUAUUAUUGUUCUUUAUGGUAUAAUUUUUCCUUAUAUCAAUAAUGUUGUCCUAUGUCAAUUUUGUUAAAUAUUUCAAUUUAUUGAGGCAAUGAAGCACACUUGUGUGAUUGCCUAUCGCAAUUCCAAGUGUGUCAAAUUGUGAAAAUUAAGAUAUUUUGAAUUUUAUUCAUGACAAUAGUGAACAUAUGUGUGGUUGCCUAUCGUGAUCCUAUAUGUGUCAAAUUGUCUUUGUUGAGAUAUUUUAUCUCCCUCUUUUGAUUGUUUUAUUAUUGUGAUAACUAAGGUCCAUACGGGUAUUGUGAUUGUCCUAUCGAUGAUUAUAAUAUUUGGUAGGAUGCUUGGAUUGGUGAAGGAAAUUAAUUUUAUAUUAUGACUCGUACUAAUUUUCUUUGCCCUUUCGGUAAUAAAAUUAGUGCAUCUUAGUUGUGAUAUUUAAUUGAUUGUCCUUAUUAAUUGCAUAGAAUCACAUGUUGACAAAUUAAGCAUGCAUUUAACAGCAAAAUUCAAUCCGUUACCUUGGUUCGUGCUUUGGGAAGCCAUUUCUUCUCUCCUUUGAUAUCCAAUAAUCUGUUUUCCGGGUGCGUGAUGGUCCGAGAAUGAGCGAUCAUAUUUGGUAGGAUGCUUGGAUUGGUAAAAGAAAUAAUUUUAUAUUAUGACUCGUACUAAUUUUCUUUGCCCUUUCGGUAAUAAAAUUAGUGCAUCUUAGUUGUGAUAUUUAAUUGAUUGUCCUUACCGCCGUGGAAUUUUCAAAAUUCCAAGCUGUUGCUAAAUUGAGAAAUUCUGGAAACUAGCAAAUGCAUGAUUUUGUAGUAACAUGCAUAUUGCUUAAUUUUGCUAUUUUCCAGCUACUAGCAAUCCUGGUAUUACUCUGCAAUUGUUUGCCAUCAAACCCUCUUACUGGAAUAAUUUUGAGGAAUGUUUUGAGUCUUUCAAUGUGCAUAUGACUAUGCACAUUUUGGACUGGGCUUUGAGAGUUGAUAAGCCAAGUAAAUUUGAGUUCUUCCAUAUUGUGGCACAAACGCCUAGGUCAUAUUUCUAGGCAAAGAUUAGAGAGAUUGGUUAGAGAUGGUGAGUAUUAUGGGAGAUAUGAUGAGACUGGACGGAAUUCUGGACCAUUCACUAAGUUUAUGUUGGAAUGCGGCAUUGAUGCUAGAUAUACAAUGUCAGGCACUCCUCAACAGAAUGGGGUUGCAGAAAGGAGGAAUCGCACAUUGUUGGAUAUGGUGAGGUGCAUGUUGUCUAAUUCCUCCUUACCAGAAUUUCUAUGGGGUGAAGCCUUAAGGAAUGCGGCAUAUAUUUUGAAUCAAGUGCCCAGUAAGUCUGUGCUUAAGACACCUUAUGAGCUAUGCGCAGCGGAAGUGUGGUUAGGCCCUAUAAUCCACAGUCAAAGAAACUUGAUCCUAAAACCAUUAUUGGUUUCUUUGUUGGCUAUUGCAUUGGAUUAAGGGGUUCCAGAUUUUAUUGUCCAUCUCAUACCACCAGGAUCAUUGAGUUAGACAGGGUUGUAUAUUUUGAAGAUGUGAGCUCUGUUGAUGAAAGAUCUAGUGGUAUCUGAAGUUUGAUAGUAUUAUCACCCAAAAUGACUUUAAAGAAAAUACAGUUGACAGAUGCAUAUAUUUGAGGGUUAGUGGGAGUAGUUACAUAUUUCUUGUUUUAUAUGUUGAUGAUAUACUACUCGCAUUAAAUGAUCCUAACUUGUUGAUUGAGACAAAGCACAUGUUGUCAACCCAUUUUGACAUGAAGGAUCUUGGUGAGGCUUCUUAUGUCUUGGGCAUAAAGAUUCUUCGUGAUAGGGCUAAUGGAGUGCUUAAAUUGUCUCAAAGAGCCUAUAUUGAAAAGAUAUGAAGAGGUUCAAUAUGCACAACUGUAGUUUGAUAUUGCUUUUAUUGUGGGCAUGUUGGGAAGGUACUUGAGCAAUCCUGGGAGUCAACAUUGGAAUGCAGCUAAGAAGGUCCUUAGGUAUUUGCAAGGAACUAAGGACUUAAUGUUGACAUAUCAGCGCACCAGCUUACUUGAUGUAGUUGGGUUUUGUGAUGCUGAUUUUGCUGGCUGCAUAGAUGAUAAGAAAUCCACUACGGGCUAUAUUUUUAUGAUGGCAGGAGGAGCUGUAUCUUGGAAAAGUGUCAAGCAGACACUUACAACAUCCUCAACUAUGGAGGCAGAGUAUGUGGCAUGUUAUGAGGCUUGUUGUCAUGCUAUGUGGAUGCGGAAUUUUGUUUCAGCUUUAGGAGUUGUUGACUCCAUUUUUAGACCGCUGAAAUUAUUUUGUGAUAAUUCCGCAGCUGUUGCUUUCUCCAAGAACACUAGGAGUAUUUCUCGCUCCAAACAUAUUGAUGUAAAGUUCUAUUUUGUUAAGGAGAAAGUGGCAGGGUCUCUUAUUGAUAUUGAACACAUGUCCACAAAAAGUAUGUUGGCGGAUCCAUUAACAAAAGGCUUACCCAUAAUUGCGUUUCAGGAACAUGUAUCUCAAAUGGGGUUGUUGGAAGCCUAGGUUGUAUUAAGUUAGUGGGAGCCAUUUUUUUUUUGUAUUGUAAUACUAUGUUAUUGUUGAAAGGAUUGCUAUUAUUGUACAUUUCCCUAUGAAUCAAGCAAUGAAGCAUAUAUGAUCGCUUUUGAUUAUUUAUUUCUGAUGAGAUUCUAUGGGACAUUGAUUUAUGAUUAUGUAUAUGUUGUGAUGUUUGAUUAUAUAGUCCAAGUGGGAGAAUUGUUGGAAUUUUUAUGUGUGGACUUACAUAAUUAAUUUGAUAAUGUCAUAAAUCAGUGUUAUUUAUUUUUGCAUUGUGGUCCAUAAUGGGACUGGACACAUAUUGUUGCUUGAUUUUUAUGGGCUCACCCUAAUUCACUUGACUGGCCCAUUAAGUCAAGUGGUGGUCCAAAUAAUGUGUGUGAUAUAUAUAUAUAUAUAUAUAUAAAAGAAAAGGAUGGGCUCACUGUAUGGCUGGCUCCCUGCUCUUCCUCCUUUGGCUGAAAGAGAGCACUCACUCUCGUCAUGGACUGAAUCUGGGUGUAGAAGGGAAGAGCUCAUUAACCCGUAAUUCUCGCACUAUCAAGCACUGGAGGAGCUUCCUGAAUACUAGAAAAGAGCAAGAAAUGGCAUUUCACGGAAUUAACCAAGGUGAACGUUUCCGUUUUUGCCGUUCAAUGCAUGCUUAAAUGUCAACAUGUGAUCCUAUAUUGUUUAAAUUUUCUUCAGAGUAGUCUUGCGCCCUUGUCCAAAUGAGAACAUCACGAGAGAGAUUGAAAAUGGUGUCUCCAGCGUCUGUUUCUAGCACCGGCUUUGAAAAAGCAAUAUGAACGCAAUCAACUCAAAUAAAGAAUUGCCAAGAUUUUCCAUUGAAAAGCCCACCAUUCAUUCAUUCAUACAUUUUCUGCAACUUUUUUGUCUUCAUAUAAAACCUUCAUCAUCACCCAUCUCCAUUCACAAAACCAAGACGAGGGCUCGGGUUUCUUCUGAUGGAUCACCUGGGAUCAUUAACAAUUAGAAAAAUACUUGUCCCGAGUGUAAAAUGCCGGUCGGAAUGCUGGAAAGUUAAUGAGAAAAUGUUCAGUCUCAAUACCUUCAUAAAAAAAUAUUGAUUUUAUAAAUGUUUGAUAAGUUGAUUCCAAAAAAACACUUUUUAAAUAAUAAAAAAUUGGAUAAAUAAAUUUUAGCUGUUUUUUUAAAUAAUUCUUGGAUUUUUAUUUUAUAAAAAUUGUGUAAAUUUAAUUUAUAUAAUCUUAAUUAAAUUAAUUCAAAUCUUAUUAAAAAUAAAAAUAAUUAUAAAUCAUAAAUAAAUAGUUCUUAGCAAAAUAUGAAUAUUGGCAUUGCAAUAAAAUUAUAAAUUAUAUUUUUAUUAAAAAAAGGAAUUAUUUUAGUAUUUCUUAUUAUAAAGGCAUGAUUGAUUUUUUUUUUUUUUGUUAAAAUGAAUAAUAAUAAUAAUAAAUACUAUUUUAUUUAAAAUAAAUUUAAAAACAAACAAAGUUUUAUUUUUUGUUUUGUAAGUUAAUUUAAAUUAGAUGCAAAAUGGACCAUUAGAGCCUCCAUCGGCCCAAUAGCCAUUUGGUUUAGUGGUGGCUUUAAAAAGAACAUCAGCUUUGCUGUUGCAACAAGGACCUUGAACCGUAGAUCUUAAGCUUCAAAUAGGAUGGGAUAUCUCUCCACUCUGCUAGUUUUUGCUUGUUUAGAAGCCUAACAAGAAACAACUAGAUAGGCUAUUUCAAAAAAUAAUAUAUAUAUAUAUAAUUACACAAUUCGAUUUUUUUCAUUUAAUACAAAUUUUUUCUAUUUUCAAUAUAUUUUCAUAUUUAAAUAUUGUAUAUAUAUAUUUUUAAUAAAUUUAAAAUAUUAAUCCAUUUAUAUAAAAAAGAAUAAAUAAUAUUACAAUUAUUAUUAUUUUUAAACUAUAUAUAUUUUAAAUAUUUUAAAAUUAAUUUUAAUUUUAAUAAAAUAUAAAUUAUAUAUUUAUGACAUCACCAAUACGACCGCCAUUUGACCAUGGGUCCGACUAAUAAACUGUAAAGUGGUAAUUUUUUUGAUUCUAAAAACAUUGAGAAAAUAUGAAGAAGACAAGAAAAAUAAAAGAAGGUAAAAUAUAAAACAAGAUUAUGACCUCUAGUGUCUCUUCUAAGUAGAGAUGAAAAAUCUCCACUUCUUCAUGCUUAUAUUCAACUUCUACACCAUUUUUCUCUUAAGCUAUGUUUAGUACCCAAAAAAUUUGAGGGAAAAUAAAAUAUAAAAGGAAAUAAAAAGUAAAGGAAAAAAAAUAUAUUAGAAGUCCAUAAAUUAUUUUUAUUUAUUAUUUCAAAUUCAUUUUACUUAUUUUAAUUUAUCGGUAUAAAUAUUAAAUAAUUUAAAAAUAUAUAAGUUUUUAACUAGUUUUAAUUAUAUUUGGUUUUCUUUAAUAUUUUUUAUAUAACAAUCAAAUAUGAGAAAAUCAAUUUCUUUUACAUUUUUUUUUCUUUCCAUAAUAUUUUUUGAGAACCAAAUACAACCUUAAUAAAUUUUCAAAGAAGAAGAAUAAGAAAAGAAAACCUAAGGAAAUGAAGAAAUAUGAGUUAAUAUAAAUAACCCUAUUAUUUACAUUAGGAUGUAAAACAAAGGGAAUAGAAGGUUUCCUUGGUACUUUAGUAGUACAAUAGGUGUUGUUGUUGUACUAUUAAUAUGAAGUAGUUGUACAAUAGAAUAUCAUUCGCCUUAUAUCAUAGGCCUUCUAGUGGGAAGGCCAACCACAAACUGUAACGCUUUUAAUACAUCCCCAAAUUUCAAGUAUAUGUGUAACAUUUGGUAACCUCUAUAAAUGUGACACGUGACACUUCUAAUAUAUCCUCUAAUUAAAUACACUUAUUAGUUAAAAUAAUUAUUUUGUAGCUUAUUUCUAUAAUUUUGAGGUUAUUUAAAUUUCCUAAUUAUUUUUAAUUUAAUUGGAUUUUUAAUUAUUAUAUAUAUAUAUUUUUUAAACUAAAAAUUUCCUAUCUAACAAUUCAGGAUUUUACAAUUAAUUAGUAAAAUUUUAAAGUUUUAAAUUAUUUUAAAAACUACUAAAAUAUUGAAGAAUUUAGUUCAUUAAAUCUCAUUUGCAACUUCGAGUUUUUAUAUUGUAUUAAAAAAAGUAACUUUUCAUUUUUAAAAUUAUGAUUAUAUUGAUACUAAAAUGAUAAAAUAUUCAUAGUAAGAUAGAUUUUGAGUCGACCUCGCCGGGUGAAUCUUCAACUCAAAUCAAGGUCGGAUUAAUAUUUCUUAAUCCAGUUAGCUUGUAUAAACAACAAAAUAGAUGAUGCAAUUUUUUUUAAAAAAAAAUUAGAAGCAAUUUUGUUUUUAUAUUGUAUUAAAAAAAUAACUUUUUAUUUUUAAAAUUAUGAUUAUAUUGAUACUAAAAUGACAAAAUAUUCAUAGUGAGAAACUUAGAUAGGCUUUGGGUUUGAUCUCGAUGCAUGAAUCUUCAACUCAAAUCAAGGUCGGAUUAAUAUUUCUUAAUCCAAUUAGCUUAUAUAAACAACAAAAUAGAUGAUGCAGUUUUAAAAAAUUUUAGAAGCAAUUUUAAAGACUUUGUCAAACACUUAGAAAAUUCUUAAACACAAAGAAAAAAAAUGUUUUAUUUAUUUAUUUUAAUAUUAGAAAUUAGUGCUAGUCAUCAACCAUUUUGUUAGAAGUCAUUAAUUUGAGUCGAACAAAGACGAACGAUUUGAAUGUCAAAGUUGAAUGAAAAUUAUUCCACAUGAUACAGAGCAUAGCAUAGACUUGGUCCCCCUGUCAUCGUAUCUCCAUAUCCAGGACAAUUUGAUUACUUAUCCCGGAAGUAUCAUCCAGAAGACUCCAGGGUUUAUCACCAAUACAUCACAUGCACCCAUAAUUUUCUUCGGCGGACGUAGGCAGAACAGGUUUAUCAUCUCUGUAUGCAUGAUUUUCUUCGACAACCGCGUAGUUGGAGGUCUUUUUUUAAGUCUUCUUUCACUUCUAUAUAAGAACAGAGCAUCACAUGGUUAUUAAACACCAUUCUCUACCUCUCUCUCAGACCAUGAAACUCCACUGCUCAUGGAUGGUGGUACUGGCCACACUAUGUGUAGCUCCGCUGUGCUUCGCGAUGGAGCCCGUCUCCGAGUCGGAUAAACUCGGAAGCUUGCCUGGGCAACCACAUGUCAGCUUCCAACAGUUUGGUGGAUACGUAACCAUUGAUGAAAAGCAAGGCAGAGCUCUUUUUUACUACUUUGUUGAAGCAGUAACUGAUCCUACUGCCUCAAAGCCUCUUGUUCUCUGGUUAACUGGAGGUAAUUAGUAUCAAAUUCUUCUUCUCUGGCAUCUUAUUAAGGUAAGUAGAUAAAGUUAAAAUCAUUUCAUUCUUGGUCUCUGAGUAGUGGAAUUUAUUUUGUAGGACCUGGUUGUUCGUCCCUAGGAGGGGGGGCUUUCAUGGAACAUGGCCCUUUUAGGCCCCGCGGGAACACUCUGUUAAGGAAUAAGCAUAGCUGGAACAGAGGUGUGUUGUAGAUUUUGGACAAAGUUGUUUUCAAUUUCAAUCAAGUGUGGUAGAAUUUGUUAGUAUUUAGGGCACUUUGCUCAAUUUUUCUCGACUAUGAUAUUAAUUAAAUUACUAAAAUGAUGAAAUUUACCUCUGAAAUUCUUCUAUCACAGAGGCAAAUAUGUUGUAUGUGGAGUCACCAGCUGGAGUUGGGUUUUCUUAUUCUCGUAAUAAGUCCUUCUAUGAUGAUAUAAAUGAUGAAGUCACAGGUUCAUUUUUUAUCCCCUUUUGUCAAUGAUUUCAACUAAAGGUCUUCAGACGUACUGAUUUUUGGAUGUUUUUCUUAAGCACGAGACAACCUCGCAUUCUUGGAGGGCUGGUUCAUGAAAUUUCCAAAGUACAGGAACAGAGAAUUAUUCAUUACAGGGGAGAGUUAUGCAGGUAAUUUUAGUGAAGACCUGUUAUUCAGGUUAAGACAAUCAUUUGAAUUCAUAGUGAAUUCAUCAAUUUUUAUUUUCUCUUCCUAUUUUAAUUGAAGGUCUCCUUUUAAUUCAGGUCACUACGUUCCUCAACUUGCACAGCUCGUUAUUAAUUCCGGCAAGAAUUUCAAUUUGAAAGGAAUCCUUGUGAGUAAAUUUGCAUUAAGUAUACAUUCUUAAAAUAAAUGGUUGGGCUAAAACUGAUAAUUGAGCUCGAUUUGAUGGCUGCAUGCAGAUUGGAAAUCCUCUUCUAGAAUUCGAUACUGAUAUGAAUGCCCAAGGAGACUUUUUCUGGUCCCAUGGAUUGAUUUCAGAUUCUACACAUGCACUUCUCACGUCCACCUGCAACUAUUCCCAAAUUAUGCGAUGGGUUUAUAAUAUCAGCGAGUCUCUCUCGCCCGAGUGUUACGAGGUAUAUAACAAAUCUGCGGGAGAAAUUGGUGGAUCAGUUGACCCAUUUGAUGUUCUUGGGGACAAAUGUUUGUCAUCGGUAAGGUUUCAUUUCUUCAAUCCAGUUGGUGGGCAGAGGGAAGGAGAAAAAAAAAGACUUGUUUGUACUUGACUUUGAUGGUAAUAUUUGGGUUUGACUCAUGCAGGAAGAGGUCUGCCUAACAGAUGAAGUGGACGUGUAUCUAAACAGGAAAGAUGUGCAGAAGUCUCUCCAUGCCCAGCUUGUGGGCACGCCCAACUGGACUUUAUGCUAUCCGUAAGGAUUCCACACAUUUCCAAUUUACUCUAUGGACGGGUUUACUUUAUUUAAGGGGAAAGGAAAGGAAGGGAAUCAUUCCAUUUCCUCUCUCCUCAUCCGUGGGAAAUCGAUUUCGAUUCCGGAUUUCUUGGAUCUGUUGUUUUAACAUUGUUCUGUAUUGCAGGGAUAGUGCCCACUUCUUGAAAGACGCUGUGAUUCCAUCUAUUAAUGUUGUGGAAUGGCUUGUUAGGUCUGGGAUCCGCGCCUCUGUUUACAGGUAGGUUCCAUUCGUCUGAUGAUAUGACAUCUGGAAAUGUUGGGUUUUUAUUUACAAUUAUGAAAAUAACAAUUAAAAUUGCAGCGGAGAUCAAGAUUCAAGGAUGUCCCUAUUUGGAACCAGGUCUUUACUGGAGGGAUUGGCAAAGAAGCUGAAGCUGAAAACAACCGUGCCUUACAGAAAUUGGUUCGAGAAGAAACAGGUUCACAUAUGAUCAUUCCACAUACUAAUUGAAAUUGAAGGUGAGACAAAUUAAAAAUGAGUGACCGUAAUGACCAUGUUUUCCAAUUUUCCUUUCUUCUUCAGGUGGGUGGGUGGACGCAAGUGUACGGUGAUAUCCUAUCUUUUGCGACCAUCAGAGGAGGUUCUCACACAGCACCCAUAUCACAACCGGCGAGAUCACUGGCGCUGUUUACGGCAUUUCUAGAAGGAAAGCCCCUCCCAGAUGCAUGAAACUCAUCAAUUUCAUGGUUGAAUAAAUAAGUUGGAGGGGAGGGUGUUUUAUCUCGCCAGCAAAUGUCACAUCCUCUGUGUAUGGAUGUGUUCCAUUUAUAUACAUAUAGUGGAAAAAUAAUUGUAUCAUGUAAUUUGAAUUUGGGUGUAAAAGUUUUAAUAGUCUACACGAAGGUGCAAAAAAUUGUGAUUUAGUCAUUUUUUAAUAAUAAAAAAAGUAAUGAUUUUUUUUUUACUAUGAAAAUAAUAAAUUUAAAUCAUUGGUGGGAUGCAAGUUAAUUUAAUUUUUCAUUUAUUUUUUACUUGCAUGAUUCACUUAUUGAGGAGAAUAAAAGGAAAAAUUACUUAGUUAUGCAUGAUUUUCGUAUUUCAUACCUUUGAAAUAUUGCAAUUUUUUUUUUCUCUGAUAACCAAAACCAUAGACAUAAAAAAAAAUAAAACUAAAAUUUUAAUGUGAUUUGACAAUCAAUAUAAUAUCUACAUCUAUAAAGUGCAUCAAUACUUCAAAAUUCACUAAUCAAAAGAAAUGUUACAACUUAAAACAACAUUUUAAAAAAAACCCUAAAAAUUAAUACGAUUUAGUCACUAUCAUUUUUUCAAGUAAUAAAAAUUAUACGAUAUGAUUAUUCUUGUUUUGUAUGUAGGAAAGAAAAUACAAUUUAGUUAUUAUUACUGAAAAUUUUGUGGAAAUAUUAUGUAGUUUAGUUAUUAUUUUUUGAAAAAUAGUAAAAAAAAAAAAAAGGAAAUAUUUAUUUAAAUAAAAUUUUGAUGAAGUCUAUUCUUCUUGUAUUUUUCAUUUUUUAAAAUUCUUUUAUAUAUUUAUUAAUUAUGAAUCUCCUUUUCCCCUUUAAAAACCUUUCAAAGAACUUUAAAGUUCUUGGAGAAAUUUGAAAACCUUCUAACAAAAGAUUUGAACCUCCCGUGGUACUCUUCUCUUAACUGAGAAUUUAGGAUUUCCCUAGUUCAUAAAGAUUGAGGGGAUUUUCUAUUGUCUUAGGCUAUGUUUGGUUCUUAGAAGGUUUAAAAACAAAUACAAGAGAAAAAAAAAAUGAAAGAUAGAAGAAAAGAAAAAAAAAAAUUAAAAUAAAUAAAUUAUUAUUAUAUAUUACUUCAAACUUUUUUCACAAAUUUAACUCUUCUAUUCUUAAUAAUUUUAAUGAUUUUUAACUUUCUUUUGCAUUUUAUAGUAAAAUCAAAUAUGAGAAAAUAAUUUUAUCUAACAUUUUUUUUUUCUUUUUCUACUGUUUUGAAAAACCAAACAUAACCUUAAAAUUUAAAUUUAUUUCUCAAAAUUGAUAAUUAUUAUUUUAGUUAUUAAUUUAAUAUUUUUAUCUAUUCUAAUCCUCUAAUUUUAAUUGUUCAAAAUCUAUUUCUUAAUUUAUGUUUCUUAAUUUAUGGACCCAUACAAUAUUAUUUUAUUUAUCAAAAACUCGUCUUGUCAACAUAAGUUUAAAUAACUUUUUUUUUCUAUAAUAAAAACAUAUUAUUUUAGAAUGAUGUUUUAUGUGUUAUUACUUUAAAUAAAAUUUCUACUACUAACUACGUAAUAAGCAAAUAAUUAGGGUUAAUUAAAAAUAAUUUUAUUUAUUAAAUAUAUAAAAAUUUAUAUUUAAUAAUCAAGUAUCAUUUAAUAAGAUCAUAAAAAUGAAAUAAUUAAAAUUUUUAAAAUGUCAAACACUUUGUAGUAUUAAAAAUUUUCAAAUAUUGUAAUGGUUAAAAACGCUUUCUAAAAUGACCAUAAAAUGGAAUCUAAAUCUAUUUUAUGAAAGUCCUACAAUAUAAACAAAAUAUAUAAAAGAAAAAUAAUACAAAACAAAAUUUUUAUUAAAAUUAAUAAAUUAUGUGAUACAAUCUUUGUAAUAAUAUUUUUUUGUAAAAUAAUAAAUUUCUCUAAUUCUUUUAACUUGAUCAUAAUUUGAAAGAUGACAAUGAAAAUGUUUCUUUAAUCUGAGAGAACAAUCAAUGAUCAUUAAUAACUUGAUUUGGAAUGAACUCGUUUAAAAGCAAAGAUCGCAUAUGAAAUACUUAUGUCAUCUCUUUAACUUGCAAGGAGAUUUCAUUAAGGAAAUUUGUUAAUAAAAAAAUAUUUAUUUAUUUUCAUUAAAAUACUUGUUCAAUUUUAAUAUAGUAUUUUCCCAUCUAUCACCUUUUUAAUACAUGUGACGUUUCAAAAUAGUACUUAUUAUUAAUCCCAAAUUUUAUCCAAAGCCACGUUUUUUUUUAACAUCUUUUUAAUAAUAAUUUAUUUCACCGAAAAUUUGGAUCUAUGACAACUUUCUUCCUUCAAAUUAGAUUCCUUUCUCCUCGGGAUCUGAAGACACGAUGGGACGUGUCUUCUCAAUAGUACAACCAGGAACGUGUCGACUGAAAUUGUAUGCUUGGAUCAGUCAGUUUCUUUUCUCACUGGAAAGUAGAAGGAGGACAACCUUGGCGUCACUCAUGACGUCCAAAGAAACACCACUCCAAAUAUAUCUGCGUUCAUACAAGGCACCUUUUUCAACGCAUGGAAAUUGUGCCCUUCCUAUAAUAAAUUGGAGAAUCAAGCUGUCUCCAUAGCUUCUCUUUCUCUCUCGGUAACCAUGCAAACCCAGUCUUGGAUGAUGAUCCUGGCUGCAGUAUGCGCAGCUCUGGUUCACUUCUGUUCAUCAGCAGUGGAGUCCCACUCUGCCCAGGCUGAUCAAAUCAGUAGUUUGCCGGGACAACCCCGAGUCAGCUUUCAACAAUUUUCGNNNNNNNNNNNNNNNNNNNNNNNNNNNNNNNNNNNNNNNNNNNNNNNNNNNNNNNNNNNNNNNNNNNNNNNNNNNNNNNNNNNNNNNNNNNNNNNNNNNNGAUACAUUUUUCUAACUGAUUAUGGGUCUGCUUUUCUUUAUAAGCACGAGACAAUCUCGUCUUCUUGAAGAAUUGGUUCAUCAAAUUCCCACAAUACAAGAACAGCGAAUUGUUCAUAGCUGGAGAGAGUUAUGCUGGUAUGCUGUAACAUAAUAAAGAAUAUUCACAAGUCUCUUCCCCACGUUAACCAAAAUUUUGUCCUUUGAUUUCAAGCGCUCUGAUCAAACAUGAUUUUUUUUUUUUGCUUCAAUCCUCUGCUUGAUUUAUUCUUUUUUCAGGUCACUUUGUUCCACAACUUGCCCAACUCAUUCUUGAGUCCCGCGUGAAGUUCAAUUUGAAAGGAAUCCUUGUGAGUUGAGGCAGAGAAAAAUCCGGAUCAGUUUUUCUUAUAGGAUUGGACUGAAAUUAAUGUUAGGACUUAAUUUUAAUAUUGCAGAUGGGAAAUCCUCUUAUGGAUUUCGAUACUAAUUACAACUCAGUCCCACAUUUCUACUGGUCCCAUGGCUUGAUAUCAGAUUCUACUUACAAUCUUUUCUCUUCCAAGUGCAAUUAUUCUCGAAUGAACAGAGAGCAGACAUCUGGUUCUUUAUCACCUGCUUGUUUAGCUGUACGAAGCCAAUAUUCACAAGAAGUUGGUGACUCUGUUGACCGGUUUGAUGUCACUCUUAACUCCUGCUUACCAUCUGUUGAUCCACAACCGGUGAGGUUAACAUUAUCUCAAUAGUGCUCCACCAUUAAAAUACACUGCAAUUAAUUUCAUCACCAUGAUAAUUUACUUUUUUUAGUAGGAAUUUGCACAAUUUUGCUUUAGUUUGUACAUGACUUUGCUUUCGGCCUAUGCAGCAAGUCACAGAGAAUGUGGAUGUUUGUAUAGGAGACGAAGUAAACAAGUAUUUCAAUAGGGAAGAUGUGCAGAAGUCUCUCCAUGCUAGACUAGUUGGAGUCGCCAACUGGAGUAUGUGCAGCGG